rnacentral:rRNA from 1 species
CAGCAGCCACGGGAAUACAGAGGGUGCGAGCGUUAAUCGGAUUUACUGGGCGUAAAGCGUGCGUAGGCGGCUUUUUAAGUCGGAUGUGAAAUCCCUGAGCUUAACUUAGGAAUUGCAUUCGAUACUGGGAAGCUAGAGUAUGGGAGAGGAUGGUAGAAUUCCAGGUGUAGCGGUGAAAUGCGUAGAGAUCUGGAGGAAUACCGAUGGCGAAGGCAGCCAUCUGGCCUAAUACUGACGCUGAGGUACGAAAGCAUGGGGAGCAAACAGGAUUAGAGACCCGCGUAGUCCCUGUCUCUUAUAC